CAGUCGCCACGGGAAUACGAGGGGGGCAAGCGUUGUUCGGAAUUAUUGGGCGUAAAGGGUGCGUAGGCGGUUUCGUAAGUCUUAUGUGAAAUCUAUGGGCUCAACCCAUAGUCUGCAUGGGAAACUGCGAGGCUUGAGGAUGGGAGAGGUGAGUGGAAUUUCCGGUGUAGCGGUGAAAUGCGUAGAUAUCGGAAGGAACACCUGUGGCGAGAGCGGCUCACUGGACCAUUUCUGACGCUGAUGCACGAAAGCUAGGGGAGCAAACAGGAUUAGAUACCCGCGUAGUCCCUGUCUCUUAUAC
rnacentral:rRNA from 1 species